rnacentral:rRNA from 2 species
GCCAACGACCAUACCACGUUGAAUACACCAGUUCUCGUCCGAUCACUGAAGUUAAGCAACGUCGGGCGUAGUUAGUACUUGGAUGGGUGACCGCUUGGAACACUACGUGCCGUUGGCA